rnacentral:rRNA from 1 species
GAUGAACGCUGGCGGCGUGCCUAAUACAUGCGAGUCGAGCGAACAGACGAGGAGCUUGCUCCUCUGACGUUAGCGGCGGACGGGUGAGUAACACGUGGAUAACCUACCUAUAAGACUGGGAUAACUUCGGGAAACCGGGGCUAAUACCGGAUAAUAUAUUGAACCGCAUGGUUCAAUAGUGAAAGACGGUUUUGCUGUCACUUAUAGAUGGAUCCGCGCCGCAUUAGCUAGUUGGUAAGGUAACGGCUUACCAAGGCGACGAUGCGUAGCCGACCUGAGAGGGUGAUCGGCCACACUGGAACUGAGACACGGUCCAGACUCCUACGGGAGGCAGCAGUAGGGAAUCUUCCGCAAUGGGCGAAAGCCUGACGGAGCAACGCCGCGUGAGUGAUGAAGGUCUUCGGAUCGUAAAACUCUGUUAUUAGGGAAGAACAAAUGUGUAAGUAACUAUGCACGUCUUGACGGUACCUAAUCAGAAAGCCACGGCUAACUACGUG